GACGAACGCUGGCGGCGUGCUUAACACAUGCAAGUCGAGCGGUAAGGCCCUUUCGGGGGUACGACGAGCGGCGAACGGGUGAGUAACACGUGGGUGACCUGCCCUCAGCUCUGGGAUAAGCCUGGGAAACCGGGUCUAAUACCGGAUAUGACUCCAUGACGCAUGUUGUGGGGUGGAAAGCCUUGUGCGGCUGAGGAUGGGCCCGCGGCCUAUCAGCUUGUUGGUGGGGUGAUGGCCUACCAAGGCGACGACGGGUAGCCGGCCUGAGAGGGCGACCGGCCACACUGGGACUGAGACACGGCCCAGACUCCUACGGGAGGGCAGCAGUGGGGAAUCUUGCGCAAUGGGCGAAAGCCUGACGCAGCGACGCCGCGUGAGGGAUGACGGCCUCGGUU
rnacentral:rRNA from 1 species